CCAAAUGAGGUGGGAGCAGGGGGUAUGGAAUAAGAAGAGGUGUGCAAAUAGAAAAGAGGCUGGUAACACAAUUCUGAUGAACACGGGACAAGAAGGAGUGAAAAGAAUAGAUGACAAAGGCGGACUAAAAGAGAAAGAAGAGAGAGCGACAGCUCCAAAGAAAGUAAAUUGACAUGGUGUGGAUGGCAGAGGCAGCGACGCAGAGGGAAAUCUCUGUGAGAGCUCCUGAUCGUCUGCAUGGAAAUGUGCAUGCAUGGUGCCGCUCUCCGCGUUAUGGAUGUCAGAAACCAUGGCCGUUGCCAUGGUGAUGCCACACUGCAAUAUUCUUUUGCAGCCCGCCCGCCGAUGCUUGCAGCAGCUUCCAAGCCGGGAAAAAACGAUAGAGGAGGGAGGGGAAGCAAGAGGAGGCAAAGGAAAGAGUAGAGUAGAGGGGGUCUGCGGCAGGAUCCACCAGAAUGCUAAUCAUCCUUUCUCGAUGGUUUGUCCUUCAUUAUGAAGGAGACAAUGCCCAGGACAACAAGAAAGGGCGUUAAUA